rnacentral:rRNA from 1 species
AUUACUGGGCGUAAGGGCGUCUAGGCGGUCGGUCAAGUCAGUCGUGAAAGUCCUUGGCUAAACUGAGGAAAGUCGACCGAUACUGAUCGACUAGAGGGACGUAGAGGUAAGCGGAACUCUCGGAGUAGCGGUGAAAUGCGUAGAGACCGAGAGGUACCCCGAUGGUGAAGACAGCUUACUGGGCGUCUCCUGACGCUGAAGCGCUAAGGCCAGGGGAGCGAAGGGGAUUAGAUACCCCCGUAGUCCUGGCUUCAAACUAUGUGGGCUUGGUGUCGGCUCCCGAUAGAGAGUCGUUGCCGGAGCUAACGUGUUAAGCCCACCGCCUGGGGAUUACGUCCGCAAGGAUGAAACUCAAGGGAAUUGACGGGGGCCUACACAACCGGUGGAGCACGUGGUUUAAUUCGAUGAUAAGCGAAGAACCUUACCAGGGCUUGACCUAGCGGUAGUAGAACCCUGAAAGGGGAACGACCUCAAGCUUUGCUUGAGGAGCCGUGGCAGGUAUUGCAUGGCUGUCGUCAGCUCGUGUCGUGGGACGUUGGGUUAAGUCCCGUAGCGAGCGUAACCCCUGCCCUUAAUUGCCAGCGGGUAAUGCCGGGGACUAUAAGGGGACUGCCGGAGAAUAUCCGGAGGAAGGAGGGGAUGACGUCAAGUCAUUAUGAUCCUUAUGCUCUGGGCGACACACGUGCUACAAUGGUCACUACAAUGAGGAGCGAGCCUGCAAGGGUCAGCAAAUCUCAAAAAGUGACCUCAGUGCGGAUUGGGGUCUGCAACCCGACCCCAUGAGAUGGAAUCGGUAGUAAUCGCGGGUCAGCCACACGCGUGAUAUGUACUGGGCUUGUAC